rnacentral:rRNA from 1 species
UACGUAGGUGGCAAGCGUUGUCCGGAUUUAUUGGGCUUAAAGGGUGCGUAGGCGGGUAUUUAAGUCAGAGGUGAAAGACGGCCGCUCAACGGUCGCAGUGCCUUUGAUACUGGAUAUCUUGAGUGCAGACGAGGUCUGUGGAAUGGAUGGUGUAGCGGUGAAAUGCUUAGAUACCAUCCAGAACACCAAUUGCGAAGGCAGCAGACUAGGGUGCAACUGACGCUGAGGCACGAAAGCGUGGGGAGCAAAAGGG